UAAAAGUGAGAUUAGGCUUAAAUUUUAAAAUUAAAUAAAGUGACCCGAGACAAUUUUUAAAAAUUAAAUUCAAAUGGUUGAACUUGUACUUCACAAAUUAGCGUUAUCAGAGUAAAAUAUAAGCGUAGAAGUUCCAGUAUCUUAAAUGUAAGUUGUAACAAAGGACAAGUUAGAUUAAAUUAAAAGAAGUGGUCGUUUUUAAAGUUAAUUCAAACAGGUCAGUUGUGACAUAAAACUUAACUAAAAAUAAAAUUAAAAAUAUAUCGGUUAUCAUAAAAUGAUAAAUACCUAAUUGAGUUUAACUUUAAAGUUUUAACGAAAGCAUAGCAAAAAAAGAAUAGUGCCAACAUCUUACUUAAUGUAGGAAACAAAAUCUCAUUGUGAGGUGUUCCACUUGCUGGUGAGCAAAUCUGUUUGUUAGCUUGAUGGGACACAGGUUCUCCAUGGAUGAAAUCCCUUAACAACUUAGACUGCUCAUCUUUGAGAAGCUUCCAUUUCUACUCUACACUAUUGGGCAGAGGAUUUUUUGUGUUUUCUUGUCUCUAGCCAUUGUGGAAGUGACUACAGUGCUUGUUGUAAGAGGACCAGUAAUGAUAUCAUCAGCUUAUUGUGGGUGAGAUGGAGAAUCUUCUUCCCAUUUAGGUUGUGCCAAACUGAAACUAGUUACCACCAGCUUUUUCUGAUGAAUCAGAACAUAUAACAAGUACUAUGUUUCUGGAAAUGGAAACAUUCUGUUGAGUGUCAACGUUCUGAAGUUCAAAACUUGUACAUUUCAGUUUUACUGAAAAACUUGAAGUUCAUACUAUUUCAUAAUGAGGAGGUAGCAAAAAAUCAGUCAUUUGCCAGUUUUGCUUUGAGAAAUUUAUUCCUUUUCCAUUCCUUGUCAGUAUUUUAAAAACUUCAAUGCCUUGAUGUAGAUUUCACCAUUCUUCUGUCUUAAUUUAGCAAAGCUUAUUCUUUUGCAAGCUUGCUUAAGAUUAUAAUAUUUUCACCUCUUCAAAAAGGCUAUUACUGAAGAACAAGAGACCAGUUUUUGUUCACAAAAUAGGUAUACUAGUGGAAGUCCAGGAGUACCUAUCAUGGUCAUCCUGGGGCAGGUUAUCUGAUGGCAAAUAACAACACUCCUACUCAUGACUUUGCGCCAGCGUGGUUAAAAAUACCAUCUUAUGAAACAAGUGUAA